GAAAUAUGACCGAAUCGCUUAUGCCACAACAUAGAGGAUGAUUCACGAAUUAAAGCCCUUUUCUUUGAUACAUUUGUAACACACGAGACAUCAGCAAAAGAAGCCAAAGAUAAUUUAUAUAAACCAUCACAUAAAAUGCCAUUUCCAAUCAAACGAGAAUCAUUAAAUAACUUAACCAUUCCAUUACCAAAAUUAAAUGUAAAACCAC
rnacentral:lncRNA from 1 species